rnacentral:lncRNA from 1 species
AAAAAAAAUAAUGCAGCUGCCGUUAUGGUAAGUCAAGCAUUUAAAAAUGUCUUGGAGGACCUACUCCUCCUCUCUAUAUGCAGAACUUACAUCAUAAAUCAUUACUAACUGCUUGCCACUAGAGGUCAUGUGUUUGUUGAUGGAAAAAAAAAUACAGUGGUUGAUCAAAUUUCACUCAUUUUCAUUCCAACAAGGAACCAAGUAAAAACGGAACAAAAAAGACUCACCUCCGGGAAACAUGGAAAUGAAUGUUUCUGAAAAUAUGAAAUAAUUACUUCUUCUGCUUUCAUCUGUUCAUUAGAUUCCAACAAUAGAUAACAAUCCAUGGAACUCACUAUGUAAGAAAUUAAUGACUGAUAAAAUAAUUUGUCACAUUAUCACUGAAUGUUCUUCUAGGUCAAAGAACAUCGAGUUUGCAGAAAACAAACAAGGUUCAACAGAAAGGAAAAAAUUACGGCAUUAUGGCAUCAGGAUACAAACAGAAGAUGCUUUGAGUUUUCACACUGGCAGUUUAACAAUGUGAAUAAAUGCAGAAAUUAAUUUUAGGACACCACUGUAACCCCUUUACUAUCACCAACCAUGUUUAACAAAAUGUUACAUUAAUACAUUAUGAAUACACUUAAAUAUAUAGCACUACAAGAUAAGUUGGUUGGUCUUCCCAAGGAUAAAACAUCAUGGAAGUGAGAAUAGAAGGUCCACUACUUAAGUCUUUAUAAAGAUAACAAGAAAGUUUUGCCUUUGGUAUACAUUCAAAACAGAAAAAAAAAUGAUAUUCGUGCUUUGGGCACAUAGUAUUGGCAGAGACAUGGGGCAGAGUAAGAGCUGCAUUACUUCAAUUAGCAUGGAUAAGAGGCACUAAAGCUGUGCGCACUCCAAGGUUAAUGUUGGGCUGGCUGAAGCACAUGACUGCCCUGAGGCACGAUGUAAUUUAGAGGUACCUUGAGUUAGGAGUUAGGUCAGAGCCUACAGCAGAAGCGUGCAUAGUUACCGGUUUGCUUUGUUUAUUUUCAAAAGAAUAAAUAUGUUAAAGAAGAAAGAAAACCAGAUCAUUUUUGCAUAAUAGUGUACUUCUCUGUAUUGAGCUUACAUGCCAAGGUUUUGGUAGCAGUGGGCUGCAGAGGGACAGCGCCCAGCAGGGCCCUGUGUCACACCAGCGCCUUCCAGCUGCUCCAGCUGGGCCCCGCCACUGCCCCAAGCCGUGUCGGAGUGGUGCCGGGAAAGCUGCGGCCUGUGGGAAGCACGCGGGGACCGCUCGGGGGAGGACGGCAGCUGUGGGAGGGGCCCGCGUGGGGCAGCGGCACUGAGGGAACGGGGACAAACGGCGGAGAUCUUAUCUAGCAUUCCUAUGUCCUAUGUUCAUGUCUGAUCAGCGACCAUGACAGCAUGCAGCAGGAGAAGUCCAAGGAUUUUCGAGACUACAGAAACUGCAAUGGAUCAAAUAUAAGGCUGUAAAGUUGGAAGAAGGUGACAUAUUAUUCUUGUUCCACAAAUAGUUUAUUUUAUAUAGCACAGUUAUUCUUUAAAAUACUUGUUUGCCUCUCUGCAGUAUUCUGAUGUGAUAUUUAUGACAGACUUCAGAGUUAACCAUCAGUUUCCUUUCUUUCCUUUCUAGACUGUUGUUUCCCAUUCCCGCUUCACAGGAACUUCAGAUCAGAAGAAGACCUCACAGAUAAGGAUUUCUCAAGUCUUCACUCUAGUCAAAAUUUAAUCAAGCUCCAUCUAAAGAAUUUUAUAAUUCAUUCAAUCCAUUAGAAGUUCACUCUGAAACUUUUGACUUUGCAGACUAAAAGCCUUCUAACUUCCAAGAAAAAAUGAAUUAUAAUCAUCAGAGAUGAAGUGUUACGGACUGACCACAGUCCCCAUUCCCCAUUUCCUAUGACUUGCAUGAGCACAUUUGCAUUUUUAGGAGCAACCUCCAUCUAGUUCAGCAGAUCAUUCACCUUACUUACAGUCUACUAUUUUAACUCUGCACUCUAGAUAUCUUCCUGUAAAACUGUUGUGGAUUGACAUUUUCAGGUGGGUUGCGUAUCUGCUCUUGAAUGUCAGGAAUUUAAACUUAUUUCAUAGUUUUGAAUUGUGUCUCAUAUUAAAGCAGUUUAUAACAUUUAUUUGAAUCUACUUCAUUUCUCUGUAAACGGCUUGCUGAGGAGUAACAGAAUCACUCAGGCAAUACAACCACUACAUCGUAUUUUAUUGCUUUCACUCUGCCUCUCUAUCUCUGUGGCUUUUUGUUAAAAUCUGUAUUUUACUAGCAUGGCAUAAACCCUCGAGAGUUCAUUCCUUUAAUUCUUUGGAUCAUUCAGACUACACCUAGACCAGAUAGCACAGUACUAUUCCU